UCAGAUGACGCGGCGGCGUGCUUAACACAUGCAAGUCGAACGAUGAACCCGAAGCUUGCUUUGGGGGAUUAGUGGCGAACGGGUGAGUAACACGUGAGCAACUGCCCCUCACUCUGGGAUAGCGCUGGAAACGGCGUCUAAUACUGGAUACGAGAUGCGACCGCAUGGUCAGUGUCUGGAAAGAUUUUUUGGUGGGGGAUGGGCUCGCGGCCUAUCAGCUUGUUGGUGAGGUAAUGGCUCACCAAGGCGUCGACGGGUAGCCGGCCUGAGAGGGUGACCGGCCACACUGGGACUGAGACACGGCCCAGACUCCUACGGGAGGCAGCAGUGGGGAAUAUUGCACAAUGGGCGGAAGCCUGAUGCAGCAACGCCGCGUGAGGGAUGACGGCCUUCGGGUUGUAAACCUCUUUUAGCAGGGAAGAAGCGAAAGUGACGGUACCUGCAGAAAAAGCACCGGCUAACUACGUGCCAGCAGCCGCGGUAAUACGUAGGGUGCAAGCGUUAUCCGGAAUUAUUGGGCGUAAAGAGCUCGUAGGCGGUUUGUCGCGUCUGCUGUGAAAUCCCGAGGCUCAACCUCGGGCCUGCAGUGGGUACGGGCAGACUAGAGUGCGGUAGGGGAGAUUGGAAUUCCUGGUGUAGCGGUGGAAUGCGCAGAUAUCAGGAGGAACACCGAUGGCGAAGGCAGAUCUCUGGGCCGUAACUGACGCUGAGGAGCGAAAGGGUGGGGAGCAAACAGGCUUAGAUACCCUGGUAGUCCACCCCGUAAACGUUGGGAACUAGUUGUGGGGUCCUUUCCACGGAUUCCGUGACGCAGCUAACGCAUUAAGUUCCCCGCCUGGGGAGUACGGCCGCAAGGCUAAAACUCAAAGGAAUUGACGGGGACCCGCACAAGCGGCGGAGCAUGCGGAUUAAUUCGAUGCAACGCGAAGAACCUUACCAAGGCUUGACAUACACGAGAACGGGCCAGAAAUGGUCAACUCUUUGGACACUCGUGAACAGGU
rnacentral:rRNA from 1 species